rnacentral:rRNA from 1 species
ACAGCAGUCGCCGCGGUAAUACGGAGGGAGCUAGCGUUGUUCGGAAUUACUGGGCGUAAAGCGCACGUAGGCGGCUUUGUAAGUUAGAGGUGAAAGCCUGGAGCUCAACUCCAGAACUGCCUUUAAGACUGCAUCGCUUGAAUCCAGGAGAGGUGAGUGGAAUUCCGAGUGUAGAGGUGAAAUUCGUAGAUAUUCGGAAGAACACCAGUGGCGAAGGCGGCUCACUGGACUGGUAUUGACGCUGAGGUGCGAAAGCGUGGGGAGCAAACAGGAUUAGAUACCCCCGUAGUCCCUGUCUCUUAUAC